rnacentral:rRNA from 1 species
GACGGAGGAUGCAAGCGUUAUCCGGAAUUAUUGGGCGUAAAGCGUCCGCAGGUGGUUAAUCAAGUCUGCUGUCAAAAUGCGAGGCUCAACUUCGUAAAGGCAGUGGAAACUGAUGAACUAGAGCAUGGUAGGGGUAGAGGGAAUUCCCGGUGUAGCGGUGAAAUGCGUAGAUAUCGGGAAGAACACCAGUGGCGAAAGCGCUCUACUGGGCCAUGACUGACACUGAGGGACGAAAGCGUGGGGAGCGAACAGG